CGAGGCUGCUCAGGGAGAGAAAGGAGGGCUUGUCAGUGACCUGGCCUGGCCAGGCCCCCACCCAAAGGCCUCACCGCAUCCCCCUGCACCUUCCUCCAGCUGUGAGGAGGCUUCCAGCCACUGCCUCACCACUCGAAGACCCUCCUCUGCCAUUACACGGGGAUACCUACAGAGGGAGCACCAGGACGAGAGGGCACUGUAUGGAGAAGACGGAGAGAGAAUAUCAAAGUGCAUCGAAGACCACGUGCAGAGGAAAACUUCACUUCCCUGAUCUCCCCCCUCCAGGACCCUGGUCUGCUUCUUUUCAUAAUGGGCAUAAGGUAGAAGGAAAUGUGAACGUAUACAAAUAGGAUAGGAUACCAUCUUCCAGACA